AUUGAACGCUGGCGGCAGGCUUAACACAUGCAAGUCGAACGAGUGGCGGACGGGUGGGUAAUGAUUGGGAAUCUAGCUUAUGUAGCGGUCUAACUACUGGAAACGUUAGCUAAUACCGCAUACCAUCAGAUGAACCCAUAUGGGAUUAUCUUGUAGGUGAGGUAACGGCUCACCUAGGCGACGAUCCCUAGCUGGUCUGAGAGGAUGAUCAGCCACACUGGGACUGAGACACGGCCCAGACUCCUACGGGAGGCAGCAGUGGGGAAUAUUGCACAAUGGGCGCAAGCCUGAUGCAGCCAUGCCGCGUGUAUGAAGAAGGCCUUCGGGUUGUAAAGUACUGUCAGUAGGGAGGCGUUACCGAAAGAAGAAGCAACGGCUAACUCCGUGCCAGCAGCCGCGGUAAUUC
rnacentral:rRNA from 1 species